CUCUGCUCGGGGCACCUCGGGCCACCAUGGCCACCCCACAGCCACCAGCACCCACCUUAUGGCCUCCACCACCCUCUCACCCCCACCCUGCAGCCACCCUGCUCUCCACUGAUUUGGGCUAGGGCCAACAAUGUCAAGUAACAGGAUAGUCUGGAAACGCUCUUCCUUAGGUCACUAUCUUCUUGGAUUUGCUGUGACUUUUCUGCUCUUUUGAUGGCAAGGAGCCUGCCUUGAUCUCUGCAAUCAGGAAUGUGGCUGAGCAAAUGCAGCUUGUACCUGCUGGAUGGAUACACCUCCCAGAUGCUCUGUUGCUAGAAGGUUCCUGGCAGUGCAGGGAAAGGUGGCUCUGCAGGUGGAGGCUCCACAUAAUGGGCUCAAAACGUCUGGUCCAGUGGUUAAAAGCUGUUCACAGGGGUGACUGGGCCCCACUAAGCAUUCUUUCGUCUGUACUGAAUAUUUCACCAAAAACAGCUCUAGGAAAGGCUGGAGGAUCAGUACUAUGUGCUCAAGCCAUGGCCACGCCCUCCAUCUUCCACCUGACUGAGACGGGGGGGCUGAAGGCCACAGCCACCCCAGAAGAAAAGACAUCAGGUAGGCCACCGGGGGCCUGAGGAACAUGCGCGUGAAGCAGAUGCGAAAGGAGCUGCAGGUUCAUUGUGGGCCUUGAGGGAAAAGCUGAGGGCCCAGCCGUGGUCCCACAAGGGGAAGUAACCCGCUCUGCAGGGUGAACACGCACCCAGUGCCGCCCAGGGAGCUGCCAGUCAGGAUUGGGCGCAGUCUCUGGAAGGAACUCCAGGAGACAGUGUGGCCUCCACAGCAUUAGGCAGCCAAGGAGAUGCAAACACGUCUGCUGUAGAUGCUGGCGAUGAGACCCCCUCUUCCCAGCCAGGGCCUGCUGGGUAAGAGUGGCAUUUCCGUGGGUGACUUUAUCCCUCAGGAUCGGGGCAUGCAGAUUUAUUGGCUGGCUUCCUUCUUACAGUUUCUUCUCAGAGCACACUCAAGAGAGGCCAUCUGUCCCUUGAGAGGCUGUUGACCAAAAGAGGCUGAAGAAGGAUGUGGAGCCCAGCUGCAGCGGGACCAGCCUGGGGCCUGAUGAGAGCUUGGCCCAGAACCCCCAAGUUCAUCAUUCACAAUGAUGCCUCAGAAACCCUCCCAGAGCCCCUUCACCCUCCGACGGAUGUCACCCUGAAGCCAGCCGCAGAAGCUGUGCGGGGCGAGCACAGCGACACCAGCCCUCCGUCCCUCAGCGGGGUCAUCCUGUCAGCACUGGGGGCCCAAGAUCUCCUCGACUGCUGCACUCCUAUUGCUUCUGCUCCCGGGGGAACAGGAGCACGGGUGCCGCCUGCGGGAGCAGGUGGAGAAGAACGGCCAGCUGAAGAGGGGCAGCCGCCGACAGCCAGAUUCUGUACAACAGAACAGCCGGGCCAGUGGCCUGCAAGUUCCAGGGUUUGAGAGGUUUGCCCUCCAGAAAGCCGGUGAUGAUUGGCCUUCUCACAGGACGUGGUACACUGUCCCUGAGCCCGCUCUAACUGAGUGCGAGAUCCUGAAGAACUUCUCCUCGCCCCGCACUGUCAUCUCUUCUCUGCAGAAAACAUCCAUAUGCCACCUGAAGAACACAUGGGGGAAGUUUCCUGGGAGAGCUCUGAAAAAUUUAAGGAGAGCUAUAGCCAAGACGAGUCCUUGAGCAGAGAACUGAUGACCAAGGUCAAACACCAAGGGUAGAGGUCAUCAAAAGAUCAAGUCUAAUCUACCUACGGGUGUGGCAGCCUUAACUAUGGAUGUUCAAGCCAGACAUUGCCAGAAGAACUACAUCUCUUCACCCAUAGAAGAUGCAACCUACAGCUGCAGAGAAACAGAUACAACACCAAUAUCUUAUCCUCUCUGAAGCCAAACUGAGAGCCCCUGGAGUCAGAAGUUUCCAAGAAAAGAAAAAGUCAUCCAUCUUCGGAAGAGAGACAGUAGAGCACGGACUAUAGGAGAAAGCCCAGAGGAGCAAUGAAGACAAAGAAGACAUGACACCUGCAAAAAGUCAGUGGAGUAUUUCUACAUAACAAACCUUCCAGGUGAGUGACGGCUGCCAUGAUCCUCCCUUUGGACUCCAUGGUCAGGGUCGCUGCAGAGAUCCUCCCUUUGGACCCCACCUGCCUGAAGGGCCUAUACCUUGGUCAGCCAUCUUAGAAGGACUGCUGUGAGCCAUGUCAUAAAAAGGAGAAAACAUCACAGUGGGCAGCCCCAAUUCCUGCAUAUACAGAUUGGAAACUUAGGUGCACUGCUUCUCUGAUUGACUCCAAAUACUACAGCACCACACCCUUCUAGACUGGUGGAUGUGCAGCUCCACUUCUUUGCAAGGAGGACACGCAAUAGCAGAAUAUCCAUGGCCCAACUUUCUGGAGCAUCAGUAUUACUACAAGAUUUGGAAGAAGCUAAGUUAGGUCAUUUCCAAGCCAGAAGAACCUUAAGGGAAAGGGCAGAGGGAGAUUCUCCCUCUUCCCCCGACAGUUUUGGCGUAGUCGCCAGGAGCCACACUGGCUGACAAGUUGCCUUCUCUGUCUGGAAGACCUGCCUUCUCCCUGGACUACUGCAGAUGAUGAGAUACGGGAACGCCUGACGAAAGCCGGCAAAAGGUAAGACUUCUUACCACGUCAGCCUCCCAGAAUCUCUAUCUGCGGAGUCCGGCGGAAGGAAAUGGUGAGAAUUUUUUCUCUUUCUAAAUUUAGAUUGGCAGGAGAAAAUAUUUGGGAAACUAGUUUCUUGGGCUUUUAGUGACUCUUGGUUUAAAUUUGGUAGAGUACUCUUGGUUUUGAUCUUGAUCCCUUUUCCUCCCAGAGUAAUCUCUGUCUUGUUCUGUGUCCUGAGAAAACUUGGCUUUGUGACCAGUGAGAAUCUUCUCCUUGGUCUCCACCAUACGGAAGGUGCAUUUACCGGGGUGCACCUCGGUGGCCAGUCGAGUAGACUGGGGUUCCGAACUGUCUCUUUGUCUGGCUGUGCCAAGCUCUCAGGGGAAUUUGUUAUAAAGGGCCCAGUCCAUAAGGGCUUUUGUCGUCUUUACCUUCGUUGCUUGUUAGUGCUCGAAAAAUCCCAUUCCAGUAUCGCCUGCCCGGUGUCACAGAUUAGCGGAUCUGUGACUGGAGGCGUCCCACACUAUUGAGGGAGACCGGAGACACCAUCCUUACCGCCUGUGCAAUGAAGGUCUUUACUUUCUCUGAAUAUCUUUGGGAGUGAAUUCUGUGGAUCACGGGGGAUACAUCAUCUGCGCCCUCACCAGGGACGCCUCUUUGCGUCCAUGGUAGAUUUAUUCUAAGUGUGGAAAGUUACCUCCGGGUCUUUCCUUAAAAAGGCUUAUUGGUUCGAGUCACUAUUGAAAUAAAUAUACAAAUGAAGAUCCUACUCGUCAAUGGCCAGACGACGGAUCCUUUGAAUU